UUUUAUUUUUAGAACCUUGUGUUAAUGGAAAUUUAUCAAUUUCGCCGGAUGAACUAUCAUCACUUUUCUCCAUAACUUACCUAUAUCCAGAGGAUGAAACACCACAAACCUCGACAACAGUAGCUAAUGUUGAACAGAAAAAUAAUUAUUCUGCAGAAACCUGUGUCGAUGAAAACCUAGAAGUUUCUUGUCAACCAUCAUCUUCUACAAUAAAUCCCAAAGAAAACAUGGAGAAUGAUGUGAACAUUCUAAACUGUACUGAAACGGCUCACUGUGAACAAACGAAUGAUCAUGCUGAUUAUAACAGCGACGAAAACAGAUUGAAUUCAAGUCGAAAAUCUUCAUUUUCAUCAUCCUCGUCGUCAUGUUCUUGCACCUCAACGAGUUCGACUUCAAAUUCAUCUGACAAUGAAACCAGUCAAACUAGCCAUGUCAUGAAGAAUAACGCCCAUUCAGAAGUAAUUUUAGAAGAAAGGAAAAGUCCGGUAGAGGAGAAGAUAGAAGAAAAUAAUGGAUCGGGAAAAGAAGAAAGAAAUGACUUCAUCAGAUAAUGACAUUACAGAUCCUGAUUGUAGGGAUGCGAAGAACGACUUAUCAGAAUCUAGUGAAGAAGAAGGACACCGGAAAUAGACAAAAAUAAAUUAUCCAGAAAGAUAAAAGCCAAUCCACAAAAUUGGAAGAGUAAUAUCGCGAAACGUUUAAGAAAUUCAGGAGAGUAUUUAGGUAAAAACAAAAAACUUGUACGACAAAGAAGACUAGGACUAGGUUGUCCUGAAAAAUGCCAUUUGAAAUGCUCUACAAAAUUUGAUCAUGCCACUCGUCAACAUAUCUUCGAUUCUUUCUAUAGACUACCGGAUUUGCAAAGUAAAAGGAAUUUUAUUGCAUUCAAUAUCUCGGCCAAUGUUCCCAAGUAUCAGUACAAAACACUAACCCGGCGCAAUAAUAACGCAUUUCAUUUGUCAGACCAGGAAGGAGCCAAAGUUCGAGUUUGUAAAACUUUUUUCAUGUCCACAUUGGAUAUAACUGACAGAUGCAUCCGGACGGUUACAGACAAACCCCAAAAUACUAUAUCUAUAUGUUGUAGCUUACAAAAAUUGAUUCUUCAGGAAACAGCACGGGCAUGUAUUAAGCAUGAGAUGGUUUAAAAGAGAUGAGAACUUUAAGGUUAAAGAAAUCUCAAACUCACAGGAAAACUGAUUAAAAACUGAUAACUAAGUACCAUUAAACUGGCAAGUUAGUAAACUACUAUAUACGUAUAAUACAAAAACAAUUUAUCAUCUUUAAAAUCAUAAGGCAUAGCCAUAGGGUAUAUUAUAUAUGAGAAAGGUAGGUACCUGGUAGGUACAAUAUGAUCAAUGUCUUUCAUAUGUAAAAUUAUAUAGGGAAUGUCAUCGAUCG